rnacentral:pre_miRNA from 4 species
UCUUAUGGAUGGGCAAAGAAAGUGGUUUCUCAAGAUGGAAACUGCUCCUGGUGAAGAUGCUGUGAA